ACCUUAUCAAGAGCGGCGGAGGGACUGGCCCGAUGAAGCCCGGCAACCACUGUACCAUGUACAGCAAGGUGCCAAUUCCUACAAAAUCCAUGCAAAGGAUUUUGGAAGAUGAGGA
rnacentral:ncRNA from 2 species